rnacentral:rRNA from 1 species
GAUCAACAUCAGUUCAAGCUAGUAGAUGCACCCACCUGCUGCCCAACCCCAAGGGCUCAUGAUGCCCAGGAACAAGAUGACUUGCCCGCUCAUGCUCAUGCUCAUGCUCAUGGGCUGGGAUUUAGUACCCAGGACCAGGAUGGUGUUGAUGCUGUCGCUGUGGAAGGUCAGGAGGUGCUGGAGCAAGGUGGUGUCGUUGCAGCUGGAAUCAUCGGUCAAGGCACACAAGAUGCCACUGCUGUUGCUGUCGCUGUUGGUGAUGAUGAUCAGGAGAAGAAGCCACUGGAGCAAUGUACUAGUACCACCUCCUCCUCUUGUGAAGAACUGACAACAACAAACAUGAAAGAUGAUGGUGCUAAGGAUGAUCAAGAGGCAGUGGAGCAAGGUGUCAUUGUUGAACAAGAGGUCGCACCCAUGGAUGAUGCCAUUGCUGUUGAUGAUGAUGAUCAGGAGAAGAAGCCACUGGAGCAAUCUAGUACCACUUAUGGUGACUUGGGAACAACCAUGGAGAAUGCUGCUGCUCUUGUGCAAGUUCAAGAGCAAGUGGUGGAGCAGCUAGAUGCCACCCAGCCAAGGGAUGAAGAUAUUGCUGCUGAGGGACAAGAGACACUGGGAGAUCAUCAGCCGGGAUCAACUGAGAAUGCUGAUGAUGCUGUGCAAGUUCAAGAGGAAGGUGAAACCGCAGAUGCCACUGCUGUAGAUGACCAUGACAAGGCAGUGGAGCAAUGCACCACUUACGAUGACUUGGGAACAACCAUGGAGAAUGAUGUUGCUAAGGAUGAUCAGGAGGUGCUGGAGCAAGGUGUCAUUGACCAAGGGGAUGAUGCAAGUACCAUAGAUGAUGAUAAUGCUGUCAAAGAUCUUGAGGUGCUGCUGCUAGGUGCCGUGGAAGGAACGCGCGCUACCACAGAUGGCAUUGCUGCUGUCGAGGAUCAAGGGAAGAAUGUGGAGCAAUGUGCCGCUUAUUAUGACCUGGGAACAACCAUGAAGAAUGAUGAUGCUUCUGUUGAAGAACAAGAGGUGGUGGAGGAAGGCGUUGUCGAUUUAACCAUGGAUGAUGAUGAUUCUGUCAAAGAUCACAAGCAGCAAGGUAUCAUUGACGGAACCGAUGACAUUGCUGUUGAGAAACAAGAGAAAGUGCUGGAGCAAUGUUCAAGAGCAACUAAGGGUGAGUACACUGUCAAAGAAAAGGAGAUGGUGGUGGAGCAAGGUGUCGUCGACCCAAAGUACAUGGAUCUUGCCACGGAAGAUCAGGUUAAGUUGUCGAUCAUAGACGACCAGGGUACAGUGCCCAUGGAUAAUAUUGUGGUGAAAGACCAGGAUAAGGCAGUGGUGCAAUAUGCCAGUGAUGCAAUAGUAACAAUCAAGGAUGAGAGUCCUGUGGAGGAACAUGAUACAGUGGGGAAUCAAGGUGUCAUCGACAAAAAUGGCAGAACCAAGGAUGAUAUUGAUGUAGAGGGACAUGGCUAUGUGAAUGAACAGGUCAUCGUCGAUAACUGGGGUACAUCCAGUGAUGCUACUGCUUUGGAAGGUCAGAAGAACGAGGCUGAGCCACGCAUGGGUGAUGAACAGAUAGCAGGCAAGGACAUGGAUGGUGUUCAUGCUGAGGGGAACAUGUUGGAGCAAAGGACCAGCGAUAAACAGGGAGCAACACAGUCUGAUUUCACUGUUGAUAAGCACAAGGAUAUAGCGGAGCGUGUCCGCCAUGAGUGGGGUGCACCUGAGGAUGAUCUUGCUAUGGACAGGACAGCUUACCAAGGUACCAGAGAUUGGGGUAUAGUUAACAAGGAGAAGGUUAAGCUGCCUGAGGAUGAUCGUGCUAUGGACACGGCAGCUUAUCAAGGUACCGGAGAUUGGGGUAUAGUUAACAAGGAGAAGGUGCUGCCUGAGGAUGAUCGUGCUAUGGACAUGGCAGCUUAUCAAGGUACCGGAGAUUGGGGUAUAGUUAGCAAGGAGAAGUAUACGUUGCCUGCUAGAAGAUAUCCACAGAAGCCCAGAAAACUUAACUGCCCCUCUUACAUGUCAAAAGGGACCUGCACAUACGGGCCCUCAUGCCACUUCAAUCACCCACCGCAGCUUAAAUCUAGAUCAGAUGAAUCAUGGCGUCCCUCUGAACGAAGAAACCAUGGCGCUGCAGAAAUUCUGGAACUGAACCGCCUUGGCCUUCCCAUUCGUGAAGGAGCAAGAAACUGUGACUACUAUAUGCGAACUGGUGCUUGCAGAUAUGGCAAAAACUGCCAUUUUAACCAUCCAGACCAUGUCAUUGAUGCUCAGUUUAGUCCACCAACAGGGUGGGAGGAUAAUGCUUUGCAAAUGGAGAAAUCUUCUGAUCAUACAUUAGAUGAGACAUCACGCAUGAAGAAAUCUUCCGAUGAUGCGACCUUCGAUGACAGAUCACACAUGAAGAAAUCUUCCGAUGAUGCGACCUUAGAUGACAGAUCACACUUGAAGAAACCUUCCGAUGGUGCGAUCGUAGAUGACACGUCAUACUCAAAGAAGUCUUCUGACCAUGACAACUCAUCUAGCUCUGGUGUCCUGCCACCAAGCAUAUUUAGAAUGCUUCUACCUCCCCAAAAAGUACUGCCUGGUACGGAAGGAAAGGCGAAAAAGAAGUCAGACUGGUCAUCAGACGAUUCCGAUGGUUGCUGUUCAGCAGAUAGUUCAGAUGGACCUUUGUGCAAGCAGGGGGAGCACGUGGAUUACCCUGAGAGGCCUGGCAGACCAGAAUAUCACCACCCAAAACAGUCAAAAUACAAAGAAGAGGUGAACUAUCCCGAGAGGCCUGGCAAACCAGAUUGCCCCUUCUACAUGAGAUUUGGUGAUUGUAAAUUUGCAUCAGCGUGCAACUAUCACCACCCAAAAGACAAAUACCCAGCUGGGAGACCUGAUGAACCAGAAUGCCCAUUCCUUAUGAAGCGUGGGUACUGUAAACUUAGGGCACAAUGUAAGUUUUAUCACCCAGAGGCUUCGAGCCCAACAGAUGCAAAAAGAUCUGUUACCACUGAUGAACAUCAUCCAUCUACAAGAAUCACAUUACAAGACUAUAUGCUUCCCCAGCAACCGCAGUAUCCUGAGAGGCCUGGUCAGCCAGAGUGCCGGUACUACUUGCAGUUUGGGAAAUGCAAAUAUCUGUCUGCAUGUAUAUUUCACCAUCCAAAAGAUAGACUUGCAGCUCACUCUGAUCAGAUUGGACCUGGCAUGCCAGAUUGUCCUUUCUAUAUGAAAGCUGGGAAAUGUCAAUUUGGAUCAGCAUGUGAAUUUCGUCAUCCCAAAGAUAUACAUUCAAGUUCAACUGCAGAGGAAGCAUUUGAUAAGAGAAGUGGGUCGGGGGUGUAUGAUAGUUUGACAAGGUCAGAUAAUGGCGUGGAGCAACAAGAAGAGAGCAUCAUGUAUCCUGAAAGGCCAGGUGAACCCGAGUGUAACCACUACAUGAGGCAGGGGUACUGUAAGUUCCAGAUGAACUGCAAGUACCAUCAUCCAGGAGACCGGCUGUCUAAGAAACAGUAUUGAAGUCAUCCGCAGCGACCACUUGAGCAAAGCAGGGACACGCUGGUUACCGCACGAAUGCUACCAACAGAAAGCAUUGUCUUGAUGUGUGAGCAGGUGUUGUUAGAGCAGGCUGGCUGGCUCAAGUGUGGGCGUGACUGACGACUGAAGAGAGAGGAGUAGGAUUCUGAUGAAUGGACCAAAGCUUGGAGCUAAUAUAAUCGUCGUAGUUUUUCUGGGAGCGAGUAGUUGCUAGUUAUGUCUGAUGAAUGAACCAAAGUUUGAGAGUUAGGCGGUUGCAACAUACUCUAUUUGUGUGGACCAGGCCAGGCCAGGCAAUCAUGAAUUUGCAAACUGUAAUCUAGCAAAGGUGUAGCAUGAAUGAACACCGAUGAGAUGAGAUUACUAGUACUAGUUAAUUAGCAUGAUGAUGUGGUGAGGAUGCACUCAUUUUAUUUUGACACUUUUUAAGGAAGCUUAGCUUUCUUGAAUCAUUUCAUUCUUG